CCAUUUCCAUGAUGAUUUCAUAGUUCAAAUGAACAGACAUGAUUACAACCCAACUUUGUCUUUCGCUCCUAUCUGACUGCAACCU